rnacentral:rRNA from 1 species
ACCUCCCACCCUUGAAUAUAUACCUUUGUUGCUUUGGCGGGCCGCUUCGGCUACUGGCUUCCGCUGGUGAGUGCCCGCCAGAGGACCCAAAAUUCUGAAUUAUAGUGUCGUCUGAGUACUAUAUAAUAGUUAAAACUUUCAACAACGGAUCUCUUGGUUCUGGCAUCGAUGAAGAACGCAGCGAAAUGCGAUAAGUAAUGUGAAUUGCAGAAUUCAGUGAAUCAUCGAAUCUUUGAACGCACAUUGCGCCCCUUGGUAUUCCGGGGGGCAUGCCUGUUCGAGCGUCAUUAUAACCCCUCAAGCUCAGCUUGGUGUUGGGGCCUGCCGUCUGGCAGCCCUUAAAAUCAGUGGCGGUGCCAUCUGGCUCUAAGCGUAGUAAUUUUUCUCGCUACAGAGUUCUGGUGGAUGCUUGCCAUCAACCCCCAAUUUUCUAUGGUUGACCUCGGAUCAGGUAGGGAUACCCGCUGAACUUAAGCAUAUCAAUAAGCGGAGGAAAAGAAACCAACAGGGAUUGCCUCAGUAACGGCGAGUGAAGCGGCAACAGCUCAAAUUUGAAAUCUGGCUCUUUCAGGGUCCGAGUUGUAAUUUGUAGAAGAUGCUUCGAGUGUGGUCCCAGUCUAAGUUCCUUGGAACAGGACGUCAUAGAGGGUGAGAAUCCCGUAUGUGAUUGGGUGCCUUCGCUCAUGUGAAGCUCUUUCGACGAGUCGAGUUGUUUGGGAAUGCAGCUCANAAUGGGUGGUAAAUUUCAUCUAAAGCUAAAUAUUGGCCAGAGACCGAUAGCGCACAAGUAGAGUGAUCGAAAGAUGAAAAGCACUUUGG